UACGAGUGCCCCAAGCGUUAUCCGGAAUUAUUGGGCGUAAAGGGUGUGUAGGUGGUUUUGUUAGUCUUCUGUUAAAGCUCCCGGCUUAACCGGGAAAGUGCAGAGGAAACGGCAAGACUAGAGGAUGUGAGAGGUUUGCGGAACUCAAGGUGUAGGGGUGAAAUCCGUUGAUAUCUUGGGGAACACCAAAAGCGAAGGCAGCAAACUGGCGCAUUCCUGACACUGAAACACGAAAGCGUGGGUAGCGAAUGGG
rnacentral:rRNA from 1 species